GCCGGCGAGGGCGCCGAGGGACUCGCGGUCGAGGUAGUUGGUGGGCUCGUCGAGGAUGAGGAUGUGAGGCUGGUUCCACAUCGCAGCGGCAAGGACGACCUUGACCUUCUGUCCUCCGGAGAGGGCGGA
rnacentral:SRP_RNA from 9 species